AGCCCGCCCACCCCACGGGCCGCCCAGAACCCCCGUCCCGGGGAAGGGCUGAACGGGCUCCCGCGCCGGCCUCGGGGUCGGGGCUCUGGAGGACACGACCCCACAGGACCGUGUCAGCCCGUCUGCGACAGGUGGCACGUACCUGCCUCUUCUCCGAGGAUGGACGAGUCGAGCCGGGCACAAGCAUGGAGCUGCGGGUGAGUCCCGGCUGGUACUGGCGCGGCGCAGUGAGCAGCAGCUGACGCAGAGGGCUCCCUGGCCUCGGCUCCUGCCCGCCUCUCCCCCACCUCCGCCGGGGGCCCAGAAAGGACCUCCCCGGGAAAUAGGCGCCACCCAGCGGGCAGCCGCCUCAUUGCGCCCGGCCGGCAAAACCACGCCGCGCGUCUCGCGUCACUGAGAUGCGUCAAGGCUAUUGGCUUGUUCCCAUUGUGACGUCAGGAGAGCCCCGCCCGGCCUGGGUCUCCCAGGCGACCGGUAUACACAGAGAAGCACGUGGAGGCAAAGCCCGCGAGUUUGGAAGGGGUGGAGCUCGACCGGAAGCGGACUGGUUAUGUGUACUAUUCUUAUCUCCAUUUUACAAAUGAGGAAACUGAGGCACAGAGAAGCUCAUCAACAGGUAAGAGCCGGGGCUGUUAACACUAUGCAAUUCUCUCUACUAAGUGAUCCGCCUUGCAGACCAUUCUCCAAAUCAGCGCUCUUUUUAAAGACACGGAGCAGGUCACGUCCUGCGCCUCUUUAAAACCCUUCAGUGGCUCGAUGUCUUGUCCUUCCUCUUAGAAUAAAACCCAGAUUCCUACAAGGGAUUGCGCGUGUAGGCCCCACAUCUCAUUGCCUUACCUAGCAUCAUCUUUCCUGCCAGCACUGCACUUGGCAGGCUGUUUGGCAAGUCUUGUCCCACCUCAGGGCCUUUGCAUUCACUCUCUGUUUGUCUAGACAAGUGGUUCGCUCCUGGGGCUAUUCCCUCUUCUUCCUCUCCCCAGCGACACUUGCCCACUUCUGGAGAUACUUUUGGUUGUCACAAUUGGGGCCGGGGGAGGGGCUACUGGCAGGGAUGAGAGCGACCAGAGUUGCUGCUAAACAUCCUGCAAUGGACAGGACCAUCCCCACCGCAAAGAAUUAUCUGGCCCCAAAUGUCAAUAAUUGAUAAACCUGUCUCUGUGUAUUCAUUCAAAGUCACGUCUCUGUGUAUUCAUUCAUAUGAUUCAUUCACUUUCAACUGUAGAUGUUGGCAGAAAAUGUCUUCCUGACUGUCCUAUUUAAAGGAGAGCUAGCCUCAUGCCCCACCCAAGUUAUCUCCAUCAUUUUCCUAAUUAUUAGCGCUUUUGCUUUGUUUUGUUCUUCUAGUUUCUUGGGUUCAAUGCAUUAGGCCACUGUUUCUAAUCUUUUGAGAAAAUACCUUAGUGAGAUAUUCUAGGUUUUUAAAUCUGGGUCAUGUAUGGUCUUUAAAUUUUUUUUUUCUAUAUUUUUGUGUGACUAUUAUUGGAGUCUAGUUUACAUUAUACUUUUUAACCUAUUAGUGUUAUCAUGUCCAUAGGUACUAGUGUUUGAGAAGCACGUUUGUUUAUUGAAUUCACUCAAUGUUGACUGAAUUAAAUGUGUUCAAAAUGCUAUAGAUAUUUGUGCUGUUUAAUACAGUACGGUGACAUGUACCAUUUAAAUAAAGUUAAGCUAAUUAAAAAGAAAUAGAAUUAGGGGCGCCUGGGUGGCGCAGUCGGUUAAGCGUCCGACUUCAGCCAGGUCACGAUCUCGCGGUCCGGGAG